rnacentral:rRNA from 1 species
GACGAACGCUGGCGGCGUGCUUAACACAUGCAAGUCGAACGGAAAGGCCUGCUUUCCCUUGUGGAUUGCGGGUACUCGAGUGGCGAACGGGUGAGUAACACGUGAGUGAUCUGCCCCCAACUUGGGUAUAAGCCUGGGAAACUGGGUCUAAUUCCCGAUAGGACUGCAGGGUGGUGCCUGUGGUGGAAAACGAUUUUCUAGUGGUUGGGGAUGAGCUCGCGGCCUAUCAGCUUGUUGGUGGGGUAAUGGCCUACCAAGGCGGCGACGGGUAGCCGGCCUGAGAGGGUGGACGGCCACAUUGGGACUGAGAUACGGCCCAGACUCCUACGGGAGGCAGCAGUGGGGAAUAUUGCACAAUGGGCGGAAGUCUGAUGCAGCGACGCCGCGUGGAGGAUGACGGCCUUCGGGUUGUAAACUCCUUUCGACCGCGAGGAAGCCACCUGGUUGGAAGGGUGGUGACGGUAGUGGUAGAAGAAGCACCGGCUAACUACGUG